CUGGGAAAGGCCAUGUCUUGGUGCUUUUGAGCUAGUACACAUGGCAUGUCUGAAGCAUGACCAUGAAAUUCUUUUGCUUAUUCAGCUGAAUUAAAGUCAUCUUUGAGUUAGUUUGGCAAGGUAUAUGCAUGAUUGCAUUAUACUAUUGGUUAAAAUAGUUGGGGAGUUCAAGUCUACUUAUAGUUAUGCCUUUAUUUUCCAACCCAAAAUUACUACUCGGCUUGAUCACCCAACCCCUAGUGUCUUUGGACUCUUAAUCACAUCUACUCAGGGCAGUGAAGACUUGCUGCGUCCAAGUUAAACCAUGAGUUCCGAAGGCCAGUGCAGAAGGAGUAGUAACCGAUUGGAAAGAAGACAGAGGGCAAUUCAACGGGUUUGGAAGAGUAGCCCUGAGCUAACAUCUGCUGCCAAUCCUCCUCUUUUUUGCUGAGGAAGACUGGCCCUGAGCUAGCAUCUGUGCCCAUCUUCCUCUACGUUAUAUGUGGGACGCCUACCACAGCAUGGCUUGCCAAGUGGUGCCAUGUCCACACCCAGGAUCCGAACCUGUGGACCCCAGACCGAUGAAGCAGAACGUGUGAACUUAACCACUGCACCACCCAGCCGGCCCCCUUAAAGACCGAUCUUGAAUGGGAUUGUCAUAAGGUGACUUCCGGUUGCCAAGUUCUUAUGUUGCAUAUUUAUUCCUCUCUGGCAACUGAA
rnacentral:lncRNA from 1 species